CGGGUGAGUAACGCGUGAGGAACCUGCCUCAAAGAGGGGACGAACAGUUGGAAACGACUGCUAAUACCGCAUAAGCCCACGGCUCGGCAUCGAGCAGAGGGAAAAGGAGUGAUCCGCUUUGAGAUGGCCUCGCGUCCGAUUAGCUAGUUGGUGAGGUAACGGCCCACCAAGGCGACGAUCGGUAGCCGGACUGAGAGGUUGAACGGCCACAUUGGGACUGAGACACGGCCCAG
rnacentral:rRNA from 1 species